UAUAAUAUUAUCUUAGUUCUAGAUGAAUGGUAAUUUACCUCUAAUGCAAGAACUGCAUCAGCGUUUCCAUUGACGACAACUGAGUCACGGCGUAAGUUUUCAUCUGCCGAGUAAUCAUACAUCUUGCACUCGCCAGCCUGCCCCAC